UUAUUCUUUACUACCACCACACAGCGAAUACUAAAAGAUUAAUGUUUGAUUAAUCAUAUAUCUGUUGACGAUUCAAUCUAAAUGCCAAAUGAAAGUAAUUAAAGUCCCAGCCUCCACGGAUCCGUGCCGAGCGGGCGGAAAUGGGAACGAGCGAAAAUUUUCGAAAAAUUUACUUUUCAUUUAAUUUCAACCUGUCUUUAAUUUACGGCGUUAUCAGAUUUUUCAUUCGGAAAUAUGAAAUGAAUUCCUUAGAGUCUUGCAAUAUUUAAUGGUAUGUGUUUUUUUUUAAUUAAAACUUUUAACUAUUAAGAAAACGUAUGUUAAUUUAAUCGUCACUGAGUAAGAUAUUAAUAUUGAUUUGAUAUAAAGAAUAAUGUAUUCAGUUCCUUCAUUUAUUAAUAGCUGGCGUUGUGCAUCCGAGUUAAAGACUAAUGUAUUUAGUUCCUUAAUUUACUAAUAAAUGGCGGUGUGCCGUCUGUUAAAUCGCGCUGUCAAGAUUAUUUCACAGACGUAAUUAAGAGACUGCUGAUUGUAUUUUUGUGUGUUAAAAUACAAAUUCAAAUGUGAGUUUUUAGUUUAAACAUACGAGUUUGAAUAUACGAGUUAAGUAAA